rnacentral:sRNA from 1 species
UGUUCAAUGAUAGUCAUCCCUGUGACUAA